UGUGUGUUAGUGGAAGCGUCUGGAAAGGCGCGCGAUACAGGGUGACAGCCCCGUACACAAAAAUGCACAUGCUGUGAGCUCGAUGAGUAGGGCGGGACACGUGGUAUCCUGUCUGAAUAUGGGGGGACCAUCCUCCAAGGCUAAAUACUCCUGACUGACCGAUAGUGAACCAGUACCGUGAGGGAAAGGCGAAAAGAACCCCGGCGAGGGGAGUGAAAAAGAACCUGAAACCGUGUACGUACAAGCAGUGGGAGCACGCUUAGGCGUGUGACUGCGUACCUUUUGUAUAAUGGGUCAGCGACUUAUAUUCUGUAGCAAGGUUAACCGAAUAGGGGAGCCGAAGGGAAACCGAGUCUUAACUGGGCGUUAAGUUGCAGGGUAUAGACCCGAAACCCGGUGAUCUAGCCAUGGGCAGGUUGAAGGUUGGGUAACACUAACUGGAGGACCGAACCGACUAAUGUUGAAAAAUUAGCGGAUGACUUGUGGCUGGGGGUGAAAGGCCAAUCAAACCGGGAGAUAGCUGGUUCUCCCCGAAAGCUAUUUAGGUAGCGCCUCGUGAAUUCAUCUCCGGGGGUAGAGCACUGUUUCGGCAAGGGGGUCAUCCCGACUUACCAACCCGAUGCAAACUGCGAAUACCG
rnacentral:rRNA from 1 species